UCUUGCCUCUCUUUACGGUUUAAGCACUCAGACAACAACAAUAAUAGAACCGACAGACCCCUUUCACCAGCCACCAUCGCCAUCUUUCUUGUUCCGUCUCUCUCUCUCUCUCUCUCUCUUCGGUCUCCUCUCUCAGCCCUUUUUUCUCUCCCUCAAACCAGAAGAAAGAACAGCAGUCAUGAACCUUGGUCCUCCCUCUCCAUCACAUCGGUAGCAGGAACAUUGGAGUUCGACAUCAGGCGGAAGGGAGCUCUGACAAAACAGCGGCAGGCGGUGGUGAGCGGCGGGACCUCAGUUCCUCUUAGCGUUGGCUCCCCUGUCUCGGCAAAGAAGUGUAGGCCGGCGAACCCUUCCGGCGUGAAUAGUGGCAGUCCCGGCAGCCUGGUGUUCCCGGCGAGAAGGACAGAUCCGGCGAGCGCAGCAAAUUGGCGAAGGCACCGGAUUCCUCCAGCGUCUUCUGUCCUUCCUUCGCGAACAGAGUAGAUCCGGCGUCCUCCUGGUAGCGGCGAACUUCGACGGAGCGGUGGAGGGUUCCUCCAGUAGAGGUUGGUGGAUGGCGAACUCCUUCCCUUCUCGGCGUGAGCUUGGAUGGUGAACGGAGCAGUUCCGGCGGCUGAGCAGUGGCCGUGGCGUGUGGGUCUUCUCCGGCAGUGGAGCUCUUCCGGCGUUGCAGUUUGGACGGCGGCAAUGAAGCCUGGGUGGGCCCAGUUCUCGAGAACGCACGUGAUAGUUAGUGUGUAGAUUUGAGGUGGUAGUUACUAGUUUAGUUUUCUACCCUUAGUUGUACUGACAUAUGUUGAUUAAACUGCUCUUUUUGUUGGUGUGUAGACACCGGGGUUUGUUCCCCACGUUUAUGAUAUUUUGUAGAGCUUUUGACUCUAGUUUAGUUAGCUGAUUUUAUAGCCUGUGUAGUUACUGUGUGUGGUGACUGUGGCGGUGACACCCUUUAGUUGAUCGUUUGAAUGGCUAAUUAGUUAUCUAAGCUUUGUUUA